rnacentral:rRNA from 1 species
GAUGAACGCUGGCGGCGUGCCUAAUACAUGCAAGUCGAGCGAACAGACGAGGAGCUUGCUCCUCUGACGUUAGCGGCGGACGGGUGAGUAACACGUGGAUAACCUACCUAUAAGACUGGGAUAACUUCGGGAAACCGGAGCUAAUACCGGAUAAUAUAUUGAACCGCAUGGUUCAAUAGUGAAAGACGGUUUUGCUGUCACUUAUAGAUGGAUCCGCGCCGCAUUAGCUAGUUGGUAAGGUAACGGCUUACCAAGGCGACGAUGCGUAGCCGACCUGAGAGGGUGAUCGGCCACACUGGAACUGAGACACGGUCCAGACUCCUACGGGAGGCAGCAGUAGGGAAUCUUCCGCAAUGGGCGAAAGCCUGACGGAGCAACGCCGCGUGAGUGAUGAAGGUCUUCGGAUCGUAAAACUCUGUUAUUAGGGAAGAACAAAUGUGUAAGGAGCUAUGCACGGCUUGACGGUACCUAAUCAGAAAGCAACGGCUAACUACGUG